rnacentral:tRNA from 1 species
GCCGAUGUGAUGGAAUUGGUAGACGUACCGCACUCAAAAUGCGGCGGGGCAACCCGUGCCGGUUCGAGUCCGGCCAUCGGCACCA